CAGGUGAUAGGGGUUCACAGGAAGCUGGCAGCAGACUCAAAACAAAGUCCAGAAACUAUGAAGAAAAGUUUAGAUUUCAACUCUAAAUCUGCUAAAGUUGAGAAAGUGAAGUCUAAGCCUGUGAGGGUUAAAAGCAAACCCACAGGAAUCAGUUCACCAGGUAAACUCAGUCAUACAGACUCAGCAAGCUUUCACCUGAGUGACACUUUGGAUGAAGAGAGCAUAGUGGGCUCUCAGCAGGUUUCUGAGGUGAAAAAAAUCCCCAAAUCUAAAGAGAAGAAAACAGAUUUGUCUAAGAAAAACAAGAAUGAAAAAAACAUGAAAGAAGCUCAAAUCAAAAAAGGGUCAGAGGUUCAGGAAAAGUCAACAGAUCUCAGCCUGCUUGUUGGAGCUGCUUCGCUCGCUGCAGGAGCAGCUUUGAUCCAAGCUGGAAGACGAUUAAGCUCCACAUCCCUUUCUGAGAACAGUUGUGCUGUACUUAAAGAGGGUGUGACUAAAUCACUGAGUGAGGAAUCUGAAUCUUACGCUGCCAAUUUUAGCCACAGAUCUGCUGUCAGCAUCAACAUCAUACCCGCACCUGAAAGUCCUGAAAUGAGGACAAUCUCAGAUCAAAGUGAACAGCAGAUGGACUCUGCCGCAAUCAAAGAGGAAGAGGAGGAUAAUGACGAAGAGGGUGAAGAGGAAGAAGGGCAGACAGAUGCAAAAGUAAGCGAGGAAGAGGAGGAUGUUAGUCACAUUAUUAAGAAAGUGGCAGAGAACACUGAGGAUGAAAAAGAGAGUGACACUCUUCACUCUGGAGAGAAGUCAGACAGCGAUGUAGAUGAGGAGGAGGAUGAGAGCAAUGUUGUGGUAGAAGAUGAAGAAGAGGAGGAGGAAAAGAGUGGAGUAACAGAAAGUGAAAGCAAAACAGAGACUGAAGAGAAAGACAGAAACGGAGGUGAUGUAGAAGAAGAGGAGUCGGAGGAAGAGGAAAGUGAGGAAGGGUCAAGUCACGAAGCAGAGAGCAAACGUGGAGAUACUGAAAGUGACUUGGAAGAAGGGGACGAGGAAGAAGAAGGGAGUUUGGAGAGUGAGGGUGAAGAAGAUGAGGUUGAAAGUGAGUCUGUGAGGUCUUCAGAGAGAGAAGAAAGUGAGGAAGAGAGGGAGACCGAAGAAGGAGAAGAUGAAAAAGAGGAGGAAGAAAAAAGUAGUGCUGAAGAAGUAGAAGAGAGUAGUGAAGAGGAAAACAGUGAAAUUGAGGAAGAAGAGGAGGCGGAGGAACAAAGUGAGGAAAAGGAGGAAGAGACAGAGGAUGAGGAGGAGGAAGAAGAAAAAGAAGAGGAUGAACAAAGUGAGGAGAAGGAGGAAGAGACAGAGGAUGAAGAGGAGGAAGAAAGUGAGGAAAAGGAGGCUGAAGCGGAAGAUGAGGAGGACCAGAGUGAGGAAGAAGAAGACGAGGAAGAGAAGGAAGAUGAAGAAGAAGAAGAGGAGAAGGUUGUCAAAAAGAAAAGGUCUGCUGAAGUGAAAAGACAAAGUGCUAAAUCAGCAACUAGAAGCAAACUAAGGUUAGGGGUCAAAGGUCAGGCGGCAGGUGAGUCAGAGGAGUUCUGGGAUGAUGUUUUACCUCAAUACCUCAAUCUGAAAUAAUAAGGGCCCUUAUAUCAAUAUUAUUGAUUUAUUGAUUUAUUGAAUAACAGGAAAUGGACACGAUCAAAGUCUGAAAAGUAAAAAAAAUAAAUAAAUAUUGUUAUAAAAAUGGCCAUACUAGAAAAGCUUGAUACAGGUCACAUUACUUUUUCUGUAUAAAUAGUUAAAACUACAUUGUAUUCAGUUUUGUAUGAGAUUACUCAGUUAAUUAAUUAACAUAACCAAAACAAUGUCAGGAGAAUAAAUUGUAUAUUUUUAUAUAAAGUUUUGUCAUCUGCAAAGAAAAUCACUAAAAUACAUUUAUGUAAGAGAAGGGAAGACAAAGUGGAUUAGCCAGACAGUUAAGCCAGUUAUAUUUUUAAAAUGUCCAGUAAUAGAUCUUUGUAGAUGUAUGAAACAUUAGACAUUUAAAGUCAAUAUCACAUAGUUUACAUUAGUGAAUUAGCAUGUAAUAUUGACCCUUUCGAAAUGCACGACAAGCAGUGUGGAUGUGACUGAACAAUAGAAGGCAGGUAGCUUAAAAGAUCAAGUAUCCAUGCUAAUGCUGGUGAAAUAAGGAUUCAAUGUCUUGGUUAAAAUUGCCUUGCAGGCAGUACUUAAAUGCAAAAGCACAACAGAUGUGGAUUUCACAUAAUUAUUUUUGUUUUUCAGUAUUUAAUUUUUUAUUGACCUUAUUUUUUCCUAGUAAGAUAUUAUUCUUUCUCUUUUUGCACCU
ensembl:lncRNA